AAAUAGAUACCCCGGUAGUCCACGCCGUAAACGAUGAGUGCUAAGUGUUAGGGGGUUUCCGCCCCUUAGUGCGUGCAGCUAACGCAUUAAGCACUCCGCCUGGGGAGUACGGUCGCAAGACUGAAACUCAAAGGAAUUGACGGGGGGCCCGCACAAGCGGUGGAGCAUGUGGUUUAAUUCGAAGCAACGCGAAGAACCUUACCAGGUCUUGACAUCCCAUUGACCACUAUGGAGACAUAGUUUUCCCUUCGGGGACAACGGUGACAGGUGGUGCAUGGUUGUCGUCAGCUCGUGUCGUGAGAUGUUGGGUUAAGUCCCGCAACGAGCGCAACCCUUGUUCUUAGUUGCCAUCAUUUAGUUGGGCACUCUAAGGAGACUGCCGGUGACAAACCGGAGGAAGGUGGGGAUGACGUCAAAUCAUCAUGCCCCUUAUGACCUGGGCUACACACGUGCUACAAUGGACGGUACAAACGGUUGCCAACCCGCGAGGGGGAGCUAAUCCGAUAAAACCGUUCUCAGUUCGGAUUGUAGGCUGCAACGUCGCCUACAUGAAGGACC
rnacentral:rRNA from 1 species